UACGGAAGGUCCGGGCGUUAUCCGGAUUUAUUGGGUUUAAAGGGUGCGUAGGUUGUUUUUUAAGUCAGCGGUGAAAGUUUGUGGCUCAACCAUAAAAUUGCCGUUGAAACUGGAAGACUUGAGUGUGUUUGAGAUAGGCGGAAUGCGUGGUGUAGCGGUGAAAUGCAUAGAUAUCACGCAGAACCCCGAUUGCGAAGGCAGCAUACCGGCGCUCAACUGACGCUGAGGCACGAAAGCGUGGGGAGCAAAUAGG
rnacentral:rRNA from 1 species